CUUUUUUUUGUGAGAGAGAAAUGAAAGUUCUGAAGUUUAGUAGGUGUUGAAAAAGAAAGAUAAACAGAAAAGGAGUGGCUUUGUUAGCAGUGGUUGCAACUCUCAAGCUCGCGACCAUGGCGGCAGCCGGCGGCAAGCCUGCCGUCCUGCUGCUCCGCCCCGUGGACGCGCCCUUCGCCGCCGCGCUGCGCGACCGCUUCCGCGUCCUCGACCUGUACGCGCCGGGGCAGGCCCUCCCGGCCCUGGCCUUCGUCGCCGCGGCCGCCGCCGUACCGGAGCCCCCGCGCGCCACGGUCAUCUGGGGCGGCGUGCGCGUGGACGCCUCGUUCCUCGACGCCGCCCCCUCCCUCCGCUGCGUCGUCAGCACGGCCGCGGGGCUCGACCACAUCGACCUGGCCGAGUGCGCGCGCCGCGGCGUCGCCGUCGCCAACUCCGGGGAGGUAUACUCAACCGACGUGGCCGAUUACGCCGUCGGCCUGCUGCUCGACGUGCUCCGGCGCGUGUCGGCGUCCGAGCGCUACGUCCGGCGCGGGUCCUGGGCGGCGCAGGGGGACUAUCCCCUCGGAUCCAAGCUUGGUGGUAAGCGUGUUGGCAUCAUCGGCUUGGGGAACAUCGGCUCACGGAUUGCAAAGAGGCUUGAAGCUUUCGGCUGCAUCAUCCACUACAACUCGAGAAAACCAAAGGAUUCAGUCUCUUACAAAUACUUCCCAAAUGUCCAUGAGCUUGCUGCUGAAUCUGACGUGCUCGUUGUCGCAUGCGCACUGAACAAGGCGACACGGCACAUCGUGAACAAGGAUGUGCUGGAGGCCCUAGGAAAGGACGGUGUGGUCGUCAACAUCGGCCGAGGAGCAAACAUCGACGAGGCAGAACUGGUCAUUGCACUCAGGGAGGGAAAGAUUGCAGGCGCGGGCCUUGACGUCUUUGAGCAUGAGCCAAAGGUGCCGGCAGAGCUGUUCUCCAUGGAGAAUGUGGUUCUGUCGCGCCACGUGGCGGUGUUGACGGAGGAGUCCAGGUCGGACCUGCGAGCGCACACCAUUGGCAACCUUGAAGCCUUCUUCUCCGGUCAGCCAUUGCUCACCCCAGUGCAUGCUGAUUCUCUAGCGCAGUGAGCGCAAGUUAGCAAAACUGCACCACAAUGUUUUUCGGGUGCCGAGUAUGUGCAGAUGUGACACGGUGCCUGCUGCUCCAUUUACACGGACUCGCAUUGCAGGAGCUGAUACCAGUGAGGUCCUGCUCACCAUGAAAAAAGAGAAGUUCAGAACAUAGAUGAACAUGCAAGGCAAACCACUGCAGAAAUCAGAAAUAGUGCCAACAAAAAGCUGCACAGGGCUGAGCAGUGGCUUCCCUGCGAAGAAGGCGUCGAGGUUGGCGGCGCGGCGAUGAGCUCGAUCGUGCCGCGGAUGGACUCCGGCGUGGCCACGGCCCUGUGGCCCGACAGCACCACGUUGUCCAUGGAGAAGAGCUCAGGCGGCACGGACCACGCCGCAGGUGCCUGGCUUCCAUCCCCAACCGUAAGCCUCCCGUUUCUCUACCUCUCCCGCGGACUGCUCGCCGGAGGUGAGUGGUCGCGCCGGCCAUGCCUGCGCCCAUGACUAUCGACCUCAACGCCACACCUGUGGCCGGCGGGUUGUCCACGGGGGGCCAAAGGAAAAAUAGAUGAACAUGCAAGGCAAACCGCUGCAGAAAUCAGAAGCAGUGCCACCAAAAAAGCAGUGGGGUUUCCUUCUAGUACUACUCUCUGCCUGGCCUUCUGUUGCACAAGAAGCAAAUUUGGGCAGCAUUCCGCUUGCUGGUUGCAGAUUGCAGUUCAUUCAGGCCGCUUAAUCACAAGAGCACAACAGUGGAUGACCGCAGACCAAUUUUAUCCAAUCAAUCAAUGGUGCUCUUGUUUCAGAGCUGCGUGGGGCUGAGCAAUGGCUCCCCUGCGAAGAAGGCGUCGAGGUUUGCGGUGACAAGCUCGAUCGUGUCGCGGAUGGACUCCGGCGUGGCCACACCUUGGACGUUGAUAGGCUCUCUCUCAAGGUGCGAUUGCAUGACAAAAGUGGAGUAUAUCCUAUUGUUUCUUUUCCAUAAAAUAUCUCACUAUUUAGCCUAUUUAUUACUCCCUCUAUAAACAAAUAUAAGAGCGUUUAGAUCACUAAAGUAGUGAUCUAAACGCUUUACGGAGGGAGUACUGAUUCUUCGUCAAAUGUGACAAAGAAAUGCCAUCAGGUGUGUUUUCACAGAGGUCGCCAUCACAUGACAACGCCAACACACGCGUAGCGCCGCCGCCAACACUUCUAGUACAAACCACAUACGGUAGAAUACAAUGCAAACUUAACAGUGGUAGAUUUUUUUCAUGACCAAGAUAAAUGGAGAACGAGUGAUCAUGCGCUGGCCUAUGAGCAUGAUCAUUCUUUUUAA